AGGGAACUGGGGAUUUGUUUUGUAUUCAUUAGUGCACAGCAAAAAAAAGUGUGUUCCCAUGGCUGGGUGGCAAUAAUUAGAUUUUUUUUUAACCUGUGCUGUAUGACUGAAACAGUCAGCUCAAAGAUGCCAUGACCUUGUUUGGUCAGUUUGUUAAAAACUGUGACACAGGGAGGGUAAUAGGAUCAGACCAGUUGGAGACGCAACUUUUGGUGCUGGGGACAAAGCAGUGACAGAUCCAGCAGCCGGCACUGUAGUCGGUCCAGUCAUACCAGUGGUCAGUCCCAUCUGUCCAGCAGUGGCUUGUGCUUUCUGUAGAGCAGGUAUGCUUGAGGGGGUUGGUGACAGCCCAUCUUGUACCUCUGUUUGCUCCCUCAGAAGUUGACCCAGCUCCAUUAUAAGUACUGAUAUUAAUCCUGUAUCAGCUGACAAAUAAAAAGACAAAAAUCAAAUAUAGCUGCGAGCAGCAUUCAUCGGGGUUCAAGCACUUUAAGGCCUCAUUAAAAGACUAGACUAACCUUUGCUCAGGGUGGCCACGGGUCCUUAAAAAGUCUUAAAAUGUCUUGAAUUCAGAUUCGACAGGUCUUAAAUAUUUUUUGUCGCACUACAGCAAAAAUUUCUCCAGUCUGGAGGACCCAAUGGCUGAUCAUUGGACAGAAGAUUGUUUUAAGCUGAGCUGAGGUGAUUUGGGUGCUGAGAACGGUAACGAGCCAUCGCUCAUUCAGCUCAAAUGACGGGAUCGAGGAGGUCUUCGGGGCUUGUUCAGACAUUUACGUGUGGAAAAGAUAAAAGCAGAUAUAUAGCUAAGUUUGGACUGGUGCCAUAUAUAAAAAAAGAACUUCUAGCCGAGGUCAACAGAUGUGGAGCUUUUGUGAUCAUGUCCCUGAACCAGACAACUAAAAGCAAGCAACUGGACCUUCAUGUGCAGUAUUGGUUAAAUGAACAUGUUCAGUCAAGGUUCUUUGGAUCUCAGUUUAUGGGCCAUGCAACUGCACAAGGUCUACUUCAGCAUUUCAAACAGCUCCAGAUCCAGAACUAAGUUUUUCAGGUUAACUGGGUUUCUAUUCAGAUCAAUUUGGCAGUUUGAGCGCAGUAAGCCACUCCUUUUGGUACUUGUGACUCUGUUUGACUUCAGUCUGAGACUGAGCGUGGCUUGAUCAGUGGUGCUGAUCAUCUUUUGGUGUGACCUGACGCUCGAUGAUGGAAUCAGGGAGAACAUCGCUGCACACCUCGUGUCGCUCAGACAACAGUUCCGUGAUUAUUUCCCAGUGAUGCCUGAAGCUAGCAGCUGGAUAAGAAACCCUUUCAGUAUCGACAGUGUCUUCUUCAGAGAACUUAGCUGUUGCUGAGCAGGAGAGAUUGAUAGAGUUGUCUAGUGACGAAUCAUUGAAGGCAGCUUUCAGAAAGAAGACAUUGUUGGAGUUUUGGAUAAAGCAGCACAGUGAAUACCCCGUGCUGUCCGACAAGGCAGUGCGCUUUCUCCUUCCUUUUGUGACCAGGUAUCUGAGCGAGAAGGGCUUCUUUUGACAACUGCUUUGGAUUCAGAGAUGGCACUGUACGACCCAUUGCCAGACCAGGUGUGACACAGAGGAUCCUACAGUAUAUAAUGGUCACAAACGAAUUCACAGUCUAAAAUAUCAGGCAGUAGCCAUUCCUAAUGGUUUGAUUGCCCAUCUCUACGGCCCUGUAGGUCAGUCUGAAUGCUUUACCAUCUUUAGAAACAUUGUCAUUACCUUUUAAAAUUAUA